rnacentral:lncRNA from 1 species
AACAUAAGCAUAAACUUAAGCAAUCAACAAUCAAAUGAACUCUUGGAAGAUUCCUCUCUCUUAGAAGCUCAUGGAAAUAGUUCCCCAAUUUGGCUCAACGUUGGAAUCCCUAGCACAAAAACACACACAUCAAAAGGUUCUAUAAUAUAAUCAAAGAAUGGACAAGAGGGAGUUUAGAAUAUGGUCCUUUCAAUGUUCAUCUUCAAGCUUUAAGCAUUCUAAAGGCAUGAGGCCUAGUUGCUCUUUGAC